UGCCCUUCUGGCUGCCUCUCAC
rnacentral:piRNA from 2 species